AACGAACGCUGGCGGCAUGCCUAACACAUGCAAGUCGAACGAGACCUUCGGGUCUAGUGGCGCACGGGUGCGUAACGCGUGGGAACCUGCCCUUAGGUUCGGAAUAACUCCCCGAAAGGGGUGCUAAUACCGGAUAAUGUCUUCGGACCAAAGAUUUAUCGCCUUUGGAUGGGCCCGCGUUGGAUUAGCUAGUUGGUAGGGUAAAAGCCUAUCAAGGCGACGAUCCAUAGCUGGUCUGAGAGGAUGAUCAGCCACACUGGGACUGAGACACGGCCCAGACUCCUACGGGAGGGAGGAGUGGGGAAUAUUGGACAAUGGGCGAAAGGCUGAAGCAGCAAUGCCGCGUGAGUGAUGAAGGCCUUAGGGUUGUAAAGCUCUUUUACCCGGGAUGAUAAUGACAGUACCGGGAGAAUAAGCACCGGCUAACUCCGUG
rnacentral:rRNA from 1 species